UGGUGGGUAGUUUGACUGGGGCGGUCUCCUCCCAAAGAGUAACGGAGGAGCACGAAGGUUAGCUAAUCCUGGUCGGACAUCAGGAGGUUAGUGCAAUGGCAUAAGCUAGCUUGACUGCGAGAGUGACGGCUCGAGCAGGUGCGAAAGCAGGUCAUAGUGAUCCGGUGGUUCUGAAUGGAAGGGCCAUCGCUCAACGGAUAAAAGGUACUCCGGGGAUAACAGGCUGAUACCGCCCAAGAGUUCAUAUCGACGGCGGUGUUUGGCACCUCGAUGUCGGCUCAUCACAUCCUGGGGCUGAAGUAGGUCCCAAGGGUAUGGCUGUUCGCCAUUUAAAGUGGUACGCGAGCUGGGUUUAGAACGUCGUGAGACAGUUCGGUCCCUAUCUGCCGUGGGCGCUGGAGAAUUGAGGGGGGCUGCUCCUAGUACGAGAGGACCGGAGUGGACGCAUCACUGGUGUUCGGGUUGUCAUGCCAAUGGCACUGCCCGGUAGCUAAAUGCGGAAAAGAUAAGUGCUGAAAGCAUCUAAGCACGAAACUUGCCCCGAGAUGAGUUCUCCCUGACCCUUUAAGGGUCCUGAAGGAACGUUG
rnacentral:rRNA from 1 species